AGUCUCCCUAUGUUAGACUGGCUGGUCUCAAACUCCUGGCCUCAAGCAAUCCUCCUGCCUCUGCCUCCCAAAUCAUCAGGAUUAGAGGCAUGAGCCACCGUGCCUGGCCAAUAGUGCUACUGUAAAUGUAUAUGUGUCAUACCUUUUAAGUUUCCUAUGAAAUACGUUUAAUUGGUCUCAUUUUAUUUAUUGAUUUUUGUUUCUUUUUUUUGUAGAGAACGGGGUCUCACUGUGUUGCCAGGAUGAUCUCGAAUUCCUAGGCUCAAGGGCUCCUCUUCCCUCUGCCUCCCUAAGUGCUGGGAUUACAGGCGGAAGCCAGCAGGCGACCGGUUCAUUUGAUAUUUGAGAAAACGGAGGCACAGACAGGUAGGCAGGUUAACUUGCCCAAAGCCAAACACUUGAGCGGAUCAAAAAAUGUGUGUUUCCUUUUCUACAAAAAGUGGACUUCAAUGUCUCCCUCACUAUGCAAAAAGCGCCAAGUACCCAAUAGACAUUCAGUAUGUUUGAAUUAGGUCCUAAUUCUA
rnacentral:lncRNA from 1 species